rnacentral:misc_RNA from 1 species
UGUUAUCUGAAUCAUCAUUUGUACUAUGUUUCGGACUGGCAUGAACAUGGUCUCGAGCAGCAUUUGUUUGCUUCCCUGAGAUUUCAAGAUUAGAUGAAUCAACCGGCACAGAACUUCCAACGUCAUCUGAAGGCAUAGGCUCAGAAGUUUCUGAGUUAUGCAUGGCAGAUUGUUUUGCUGCAUUCUCAGCCAACUCAAGUGCACGAUUCUUUGCAGCAAUUUCUUCCUGUUGCUU